GACGAACGCUGGCGGCGUGCUUAACACAUGCAAGUCGAACGGAAAGGCCCUGCUUUUGUGGGGUGCUCGAGUGGCGAACGGGUGAGUAACACGUGAGUAACCUGCCCUUGACUUUGGGAUAACUUCAGGAAACUGGGGCUAAUACCGGAUAGGAGCUCCUGCUGCAUGGUGGGGGUUGGAAAGUUUCGGCGGUUGGGGAUGGACUCGCGGCUUAUCAGCUUGUUGGUGGGGUAGUGGCUUACCAAGGCUUUGACGGGUAGCCGGCCUGGGAGGGUGACCGGCCACAUUGGGACUGAGAUACGGCCCAGACUCCUACGGGAGGCAGCAGUGGGGAAUAUUGCACAAUGGGCGGAAGCCUGAUGCGGCAACGCCGCGUGCGGGAUGACGGCCUUCGGGUUGUCAACCGCUUUCGCCUGUGACGAAGCGUGAGUGACGGUAAUGGGUAAAGAAGCACCGGCUAACUACGUG
rnacentral:rRNA from 1 species